UACAGAGGUCCCAAGCGUUGUUCGGAUUUAUUGGGCGUAAAGGGUGCGUAGGCGGCGCGGUAAGUCGGGUGUGAAAUCUUGGAGCUUAACUCCGAAACUGCAUUCGAUACUGCCGUGCUUGAGGACUGGAGAGGAGACUGGAAUUUACGGUGUAGCGGUGAAAUGCGUAGAUAUCGUAAGGAAGACCAGUGGCGAAGGCGGGUCUCUGGACAGUUCCUGACGCUGAGGCACGAAGGCCAGGGGAGCAAACGGG
rnacentral:rRNA from 1 species